ACGCGUUGGGAGCUCUCCCAUAUGGUCGACCUGCAGGCGGCCGCGAAUUCACUAGUGAUUCGUAUUACCGCGGCUGCUGACACAGAGUUAACCGGUGCUUAUUCUGCGGGUACCGUCAUAGCAACGAGUUAUUCGCUCGUUACCUUUCUUCCCCACCUAAAGUGCUUUACAACCCGAAGGCCUUCUUCACACACGCGGCAUCGCUGGAUCAGGGUUUCCCCCAUUGUCCAAGAUUCCCCACUGCUGCCUCCCGUAGGAGUCUGGGCCGUGUCUCAGUCCCAGUGUGGCUGGUCAUCCUCUCAGACCAGCUACGGAUCGUCGCCUUGGUAGGCUUUUACCCCACCAACUAGCUAAUCCGACGUAGGCUCACCCCAGAGCGCAAGGCCUUUCGGUCCCCUGCUUUUGAUCUCUCGAUAUCAUGUGGUAUUAGCCCGAGUUUCCUCGGGUUAUCCCACGCUCCAGGACAGAUUCCUACGUGUUACUCACCCGUCCGCCACUCGCCACCCCAUAAAGACCGAAAUCUUUACUGAGCUGCCGUUCGACUUGCAUGUGUUAGGCAUGCCCCCAGCGUUCAAUCUGAGCCAUGAUCAAACUCUAAUCGAAUUCCCGCGGCCGCCAUGGCGGCCGGGAGCAUGCGAC
rnacentral:rRNA from 1 species